AUGCUUCUCUUCCACAAGCAACUGUUCUCGCUCCGUCUCCCAGCUUCACCCGUGAUCUUCUCUCUCCGUCGGGCCCUCUUAUCCACCUCGGCGGCCACCGACGCCCCGCCGGCCCCAUUCGCCGUCGACAACUACCUCGUCACCACCUGCGGCCUCACACCGGAGCAAGCCCUCAAGGCCGCCAAGCACGUCUCCCACUGUAAGUCCACCUCCAACGCCGACUCCAUCCUCGCCUACCUCGCCGGCCCCACCUUCCGCUUCUCCAAGGCCGACAUCGCCCACGUCGUCGCCCGCGACCCGCGGAUCCUCAACUGCAGCGUCGACAACACCCUCAAGGCCCGCGUCGCCACCUUUCGCGGCUAUGGCCUCUCCGAGGACCACGUCCGGUCCUUCCUCCGCAUGGCCCCUGGCGUCUUCCGCUCCAUCAGCAUCCAGGAGAAGCUCGGGUUCUGGUUGCACUUCCUGGGUUCGCCGGAGAAGUUCAUCCGCAUCCUCAAGCGCAACUACUACCUCCUCACGUCGGACCUCGAGCGUGUGGUCAAGCCCAACAUCGCGGUGCUACUGGAGAGUGGGGUAAGUGCCGACGAUAUUGCCAAGAUGUGCGUGCCAAACUCGAGAUUGCUCACCAGCAGCCCCAAGACCGUGAUGUCCAUCCUGGAGCGUGCAGAUAAGCUCGGCGUGCCUCGCGGUUCGCUUAUGUUCAAGCAGGCAGUGACCACGACGACGGGCCUUGGGGCCGAGACGAUGGCAGCCAAGCUCAAGCUCUUCGAGGAGAUUCUUGGGUGGUCUGAGGCUGAGGUGACCAACGUGGUGAGGAUAAACCCAACGCUGCUGAGGAUCUCUGGGGAGAAGCUUCGCCGUGCUAAGGAGUUCCUGACCAAGGUGGUCGGUGUUGACACUAGGUACAUCCUUACCAGGCCCUCAAUCCUGAUGUACAGCCUGAAGUGCCGACUGGUUCCUCGGCAUUAUGUGAUGAAGGCGCUCCAGGAGAAAGGAUUGAUUCAGAAAGAUCAGAGCUUCUACACGAUGAUCACGCCUAGUGAGAAGACGUUUCAGCGCAGGCAUAUAGAUGCUCAUAGGCAUGUUCUUCCAGGCCUUGCUGAAGCCUACGCAGCUGCUUGCCAAGGGAAACUGCCAACUGAUGUUGCGGUAUGA
rnacentral:rRNA from 1 species